UGAUGGCAAGUUCUUGGUAUGGCUUCCUAUCCUCAAGAAGUUCAAGUGGAGAUUCCUUACAAAAAGUUCCAGCAAAGUGGAUUAAAAGAUUCUGUAUGGCCAAUUGUUAUUCUUGCUGCCCUUAUAAUUGAUCACAAACCUAGGGGAAGAGGAGGUCACUUUACCUGUGAUAUUGUCUAAACAAAUCCACGGAGGGAUCUUGAGCUGUUUAAUCGUGGCACUGUCAUUUGGUUUGGAGCAUCUAUGACAUGUCUUGCACUUCGCCUGCUGUUAAAUGGGAUGGAGAAGUAGAAGAUGUAUUCCCUGGCUUCAAAGGUGAUGUAAUACAUUUUUGGGGGGAAAAAAGUAUCAUAAUUUUAAUCCCAAGUAAAGAGGGGUUUGAAACACUGGUAUGUACAGGCUGACAUACCUACAAUGAACA